AUGACACUAUUGACAUAGGAGAGGCUAAGAGGAAGCUACUCUUCGUCAUCAUGCCUACUUCUUAAGAGGGGUAAGUUUGUCUUUUCAAGUUGUGGUGUUUUGUGGCUUCUUCAACCCUCCACACGUGUCCUAACUAAAACAGUAACAUACCGCUAAUUACACCACUAACUAGGCAGUAACACACCCCUAGAAGAAGAACAUUGUACAUAUGUUUCAUCGGAUUCAUUUGGCGGUGCUUCCUCCUGCUUAAUUUGACUGCAUUAUCGCAAUGGAACAGAGGCUUAACAUUGAAGCAAUCAUACUAUCAGUUAAAGAAUGGACCUGCAAGGUUUUGGUGGUUGAUAAAUAUCGCCCUUGCGAGAGAAAAAAUUAGACUGUUCAUUUCUAGACAAUAAUUGUACAGGAUGAAAACGUCAGCUUACUACUCUUAUCUCUCCACAGUGACUGCAUCAAGAAUGUUUAGACAUAUUAAAGACCUCUUCUAAUUUGGUCAAUUGCAGGAGGAACAGAUUUUGAUAGUUUUGUACGGUAAUGACAUUAGCAGGUGUCAUAAACUGUUCACCCCUUUCCAGACAUAUCUGGUUUCAAGUGCAAGGGUUAGGGAA